CCUACGGGAGGCAGCAGUGAGGAAUAUUGGUCAAUGGACGAGAGUCUGAACCAGCCAAGUAGCGUGAAGGAUGACUGCCCUAUGGGUUGUAAACUUCUUUUAUAAGGGAAUAAAACGAGGCACGUGUGCCUUUUUGCAUGUACUUUAUGAAUAAGGAUCGGCUAACUCCGUGCCAGCAGCCGCGGUAAUACGGGGGAUCCGAGCGUUAUCCGGAUUUAUUGGGUUUAAAGGGCGCGUAGAUGGGUUGUUAAGUAAGUUGUGAAAGUUUGCGGCUCAACCGGAAAAUGGCAAUUGAUACUGGCAGGCUUGAGUACAGGAGAGGUAGGCGGAAUGCGUGGUGUAGCGGUGAAAUGCUUAGAUAUCACGAAGAACCCCGAUUGCGAAGGCAGCUUACUAAACUGUGACUGACAUUGAUGCUCGAAAGUGUGGGUAUCAAACAGGAUUAGAUACCCGGGUAGUC
rnacentral:rRNA from 1 species